rnacentral:lncRNA from 1 species
CCGAUAUUAUGGAUGGCCUUAUUGAUACUAUGCAAAUUAUCUCAGAGGAUAGAUGACUUCAGACUGUACCAUCGAUGAAUGAUUCGAGUAUCUCUUCGUAUGCCCAGCACACCUCAUACCCUAGCUUUUCGGACUUCGAUCUCCCUAUAGAUGCAUCUCUAUCAUAGAAAGUGAGCGAGCCUCCACCUCCCUUGUCUCUAUCACAUAGAGUGAGCGAGCCUCCACCUCCUUCCCCA